GCGCCGGUUUUUCAUUGGUUGAAUGCUCGCCUGCCAUGCUAGCGGCCCGGAUUUAAUUCCCGGCCGGCGCA
rnacentral:tRNA from 1 species